UCCGUAGGUGAACCUGCGGAAGGAUCAUUACCAUAGAAACCAGGCCUAGCCUGGCCUCUUCUAUUACCCUUGUUUUUCGAGUACCAAUGUUUCCUUGGUGGGCUUGCCUGCCAAUAGGACAAACUAUAAAACCUUUUUAAUUUUCAAUCAGCGUCUGAAUAAACGUAAUAAUUACAACUUUCAACAACGGAUCUCUUGGUUCUGGCAUCGAUGAAGAACGCAGCGAAAUGCGAUAAGUAGUGUGAAUUGCAGAAUUCAGUGAAUCAUCGAAUCUUUGAACGCACAUUGCGCCCCUUGGUAUUCCAUGGGGCAUGCCUGUUCGAGCGUCAUUUGUACCUUCAAGCUCUGCUUGGUGUUGGGUGUUUGUCUCGCCUCUGCGUGUAGACUCGCCUUAAAACAAUUGGCAGCCGGCGUAUUGAUUUCGGAGCGCAGUACAUCUCGCGCUUUGCACUCGUAACGACGACGUCCAAAAGUACUUUUUACACUCUUGACCUCGGAUCAGGUAGGGAUACCCGCUGAACUUAAGCAUAUCAAUAAGCGGAGGAAGUCGGACUGGCCAAGGGGCACACCAGGGGGGGGGGAUA
rnacentral:rRNA from 1 species